GAUGAACGCUGGCGGCGUGCCUAAUACAUGCCAGUCGAGCGAACAGAUGAGGAGCUUGCUCCUCUGACGUUAGCGGCGGACGGGUGAGUAACACGUGGAUAACCUACCUAUAAGACUGGGAUAACUUCGGGAAACCGGAGCUAAUACCGGAUAAUAUAUUGAACCGCAUGGUUCAAUAGUGAAAGACGGUUUUGCUGUCACUUAUAGAUGGAUCCGCGCCGCAUUAGCUAGUUGGUAAGGUAACGGCUUACCAAGGCAACGAUGCGUAGCCGACCUGAGAGGGUGAUCGGCCACACUGGAACUGAGACACGGUCCAGACUCCUACGGGAGGCAGCAGUAGGGAAUCUUCCGCAAUGGGCGAAAGCCUGACGGAGCAACGCCGCGUGAGUGAUGAAGGUCUUCGGAUCGUAAAACUCUGUUAUUAGGGAAGAACAAAUGUGUAAGUAACUAUGCACGUCUUGACGGUACCUAAUCAGAAAGCCACGGCUAACUACG
rnacentral:rRNA from 1 species